UGCAGUCGAGCGGUAACAGAUCCAGCUUGCUGGAUGCUGACACAUCGGCGGACCGAUGAGUAAUGCAUAUGAAUCUGCCCGAUAGUGGGGGAUAACCUGGGGAAACCCCGGCUAAUACCGCAUACGUCCUACGGGAGAAAGGGGGCUCCGGCUCCCCCUAUGGGAUGAGCCUAUGUCGGAUUACCUAUUUGGUGAGGUCACGGCUCACCUAGGCAACUAUCCGUAUCUGGUCUGACAGGAUGAUCAACCCCUUCGGGACUGAAACACGGGCCCAACUCCUACGGGAGGCAGCCGUGGGGAAUAUUGGACAAGGAGGGAACCCCUGAUCAACCCAUGCCGCGUGUGUGAAGAAGGCCCACCGGUUGUAAAUCACUUUCAACGAGGAUCAGCUCCUAGCGGUUAAUACCCGCUAGGAAAGACAUCACUCUCAAAAGAAGCACCGGCUAACUCCGUGCCAUCAACCACGGUAAUACGGAGGGUGCAAGCGUUAAUCGGAAUUACUGGGCGUAAAGCGCGCGUAGGUGGCUUGAUAAGCCGGUUGUGAAAGCCCCGGGCUCAACCUGGGAACGGCAUCCGGAACUGUCAAGCUAGAGUGCAGGAGAGGAAGGUAGAAUUCCCGGUGUAGCGGUGAAAUGCGUAGAGAUCGGGAGGAAUACCAGUGGCGAAGGCGGCUUUCUGGACUGACACUGACACUGAGGUGCGAAAGCGUGGGUAGCAAACAGGAUUAGAUACCCUGGUAGUCCACGCCGUAAACGAUGUCGACCAGCCGUUGGGUGCCUAACGCACUUUGUGGCGAGUUAACGCGAUAAGUCGACCGCCUGGGGAGUACGGCCGCAAGGUUAAAACUCAAAUGAAUUGACGGGGGCCCGCACAAGCGGGGGAGCAUGUGGUUUAAUUUGAUGCAACGGGAAGAACCUUACCUACUUUUGACAUCCUGCGAAUUUGGUAGAGAUACCUUAGUUCCUUUGGGAACGCAGAGACAGGUGUGUGCAUGGGUGUUGUCAGCUUGUGUUGUGAAAUGUUGGGUUAAGUCCCGUAACGAGCGCAACCCUUGUCUUUAUUUGCCAGCGCGUAAUGGCGGGAACUCUAAGGAGACUGCCGGUGACAAACCGGAGGAAGGUGGGGACGACGUCAAGUCAUCAUGGCCCUUACGAGUAGGGCUACACACGUGCUACAAUGGUCGGUACAAAGGGUUGCCAACUCGGGAGAGUGAGCCAAUCCCGAAAAGCCGAUCUCAGUCCGGAUGGGAGUUUGCA
rnacentral:rRNA from 1 species